UGGGGAAUUUUGGACAAUGGGCGCAAGCCUGAUCCAGCAAUGCCGCGUGAGUGAAGAAGGCCUUCGGGUUGUAAAGCUCUUUUGUCAGGGAAGAAACGGUCUCAGCUAAUAUCUGGGGCUAAUGACGGUACCUGAAGAAUAAGCACCGGCUAACUACGUGCCAGCAGCCGCGGUAAUACGUAGGGUGCAAGCGUUAAUCGGAAUUACUGGGCGUAAAGCGUGCGCAGGCGGUUUUGUAAGUCUGAUGUGAAAUCCCCGGGCUCAACCUGGGAAUUGCAUUGGAGACUGCAAGGCUAGAAUCUGGCAGAGGGGGGUAGAAUUCCACGUGUAGCAGUGAAAUGCGUAGAGAUGUGGAGGAACACCGAUGGCGAAGGCAGCCCCCUGGGUCAAGAUUGACGCUCAUGCACGAAAGCGUGGGGAGCAAACAGGAUUAGAUACCCUGGUAGUCCACGCCCUAAACGAUGUCUACUAGUUGUCGGGUUUUAAUUAACUUGGUAACGCAGCUAACGCGUGAAGUAGACCGCCUGGGGAGUACGGUCGCAAGAUUA
rnacentral:rRNA from 1 species